GACGAACGCUGGCGGCGUGCUUAACACAUGCAAGUCGAACGGAUAGGCCCUGCUUUUGUGGGGUGCUCGAGUGGCGAACGGGUGAGUAACACGUGAGUAACCUGCCCUUGACUUUGGGAUAACUUCAGGAAACUGGGGCUAAUACCGGAUAGGAGCUCCUGCUGCAUGGUGGGGGUUGGAAAGUUUCGGCGGUUGGGGAUGGACUCGCGGCUUAUCAGCUUGUUGGUGGGGUAGUGGCUUACCAAGGCUUUGACGGGUAGCCGGCCUGAGAGGGUGACCGGCCACAUUGGGACUGAGAUAAGGCCCAGACUCCUACGGGAGGCAGCAGUGGGGAAUAUUGCACAAUGGGCGGAAGCCUGAUGCAGCAACGCCGCGUGCGGGAUGAAGGCCUUCGGGUUGUAAACCGCUUUCGCCUGUGACGAAGCGUGAGUGACGGUAAUGGGUAAAGAAGCACCGGCUAACUACGUG
rnacentral:rRNA from 1 species